rnacentral:rRNA from 1 species
AGGUUAAGCUAAUAAGAGCACACGGAGGAUGCCUAGGCGCCAGGAGCCGACGAAGGACGUGGCGAACAACGAAACUGCCUCGGGGAGCUGUAAGCAAGCUUUGAUCCGGGGGUGUCCGAAUGGGGAAACCCAGCUGUGGUAAUUCGCAGUUACUCAUUUCUGAAUACAUAGGAAAUGUAGAGGCAGACCAGGGGAACUGAAACAUCUAAGUACCCUGAGGAAGAGAAAACAAUAGUGAUUCCGUCAGUAGCGGCGAGCGAACGCGGAACAGCCUAAACCUAAGAGCUUGCUCUUAGGGGUUGUGGGACGUCUCACAUGGAGUUACAAAGGAAUAUGGUAGGUGAAGAGGUCUGGAAAGGCCCGCGAUAGAGGUAAAAGCCCUGUAACCUAAACUGUAUUCUCUCCGAGACGGAUCCCGAGUAGUGCGGGGCACGUGAAACCCCGUAUGAAUCCAGCAGGACCAUCUGCUAAGGCUAAAUACUACCUGGCGACCGAUAGUGAAACAGUACCGUGAGGGAAAGGUG